ACUGUCUUCGUCUCUCAGGUGGGGGAAAAGGGAUAUAGAAGCAUAUAGUCUAAGCUGGGAGUUAAAAACACUAGGUUAAAAUCCUAGCUUUGCUACUGAAUAGCUGUGUGACCUUAGGCAAUUUACUUAACCUCUCUGAGUCUCUGUAAAAUGGAGGGAAAAAAUGCUUCUCUGGAAGAGUGGUUAAAUACUUGAAAGAGGCAAUGUAACUGUCUUAUGCCUAGAGCAUAGUAGGUGCUUAACAAACAGUAGCUUAUUUCUGGCAUUAUAAUUAGAUGAGGGGAAGGUCCCUCCUAGCACAGACCCUGGAAGAUUCUAUGACUCAGGGAGUGGGCAGAUUGCAUCCAUGGUCCCUGCCCUCAUUUGUAGCUACCUGAAGGGCCUGUCUCAGCAAUAAAAACAGCCAAGUGAGCACAGGCAGAGAAACAUCAUUUCCUCCUCCUCUUGAGGGCAGGAGUCCAGGCGCAGCCCCAGCAGCAGGUUGGAAUAAAUGCAGAUGCUGCAAAUUGAUGGAGGCCUGGUGUCUUCCAGAGUGGAGGUAAAGGCUGGCUGAGGAAUCAGUGAGGCCAGGAAGAGGGCUCAGCUGAGCAACUGAUCAAAGCAUCCCUCUUCAGGAAGGAGCUUCCUGUGUUUUCUCUGGGAACUCACCUGUUUUCCACUCCAGACUCUCCAAGAUAUGCAGAGCUUUGGGCCAGGAUCCUACAGCCACGGGUCAUGCAGAGCCAGUUGGCCACAUCCUUUGGGCCAAAUUUGGUCCUAACCAGGUCUUACCACGGUAACUGCUAACCAGUCCAUCUUCAGUUAAUAUUUCAUGCGUAGGAAUUGUUGAACAUCUUACCAUUUAAUCCAGAAGUUAUGUCCUUUAAGGAAUCGACCCUGAGCCUGUGAGUUUUACUUUGGGUUGGGGGUGAAGGAGUGGACCUUGCAGCAUUCAAGGUCAUCCAAGAUCAUCCAGUUAAGGCCCCUAAGGUCACUACGGGGGGAAAAGCCUGGUGAGGGAAGAGAAAGCAUUAGGGGGAGCUGCACCGUGCUGAGAAAUAACACCACACAGAAGUCUGUGUUCUAAUCUCAGCUCUGCUUUGCAUUACUGUGUGACCUGGAGCUGAUCACAGCCCUCUGAGUCUUAAAGGGGUUGGACAAGGCCAACUAAACAUUAGAAACACCUGAAAGUGCUGGUUAAAAGGAAGAAUGCAUGAGCUUCACUCCAGAUUUACUAUAUCAGAAUUUCCAGGGUCAGGGUCCAAGAAUCUGCAUGUUUAAUACGCUUUCCACAUGAUUUUUCCCCCCUCUGGACUUAAGAAAACAAUGGGCAAGUCAGCUCAUGAAGAACUUUUCAGAUAUUCAGACUAUUAUUCUGAGAGAGAAAAUAUUGGCAGAGAACAGAUGGGAUUUUUCUCAAGGAAAAGAAAUGGAAAUCCUACAUCUUGCAAGAAAUAGAAAAAAAUAAAUAAACUGUUUGAAGAAGAAUCACAUCAGGCUGGCAGGAGAGAGCCUGCGGCUCGGUGUCUGACCCAGAAUGUUAAAGCCAGCCUGGCUUGGCUCCAGGAUAAAGGACACUCUGUCAGCCUCUCCACAUUGAUUCAUCUCCCCAGCCCCAAGAUCAGGAGAGCAUUCUGUUCCUUGAAGCAUUUUAUGACUGUAAGUCAGAAGUGCUGCAGUUUUAAUAAAAAGCUGUAUUGUCCUGA
ensembl:lncRNA novel transcript